ensembl:lncRNA
GUGACAGUGAUGCAGAGGUGCAGUGGCUGCUGGGAACUGAAGAGUUCCUUCGGGAUAUCCAUGACAAGUAUAACAUGAUAUCUUGACUCCUAUUUUUUAAAGGGAGAUUUAAAACAAAAGAGGACGAGUACAGCUUUAGAGCUCAGUGAAAUCAAUGCACAGACAGCUCCGUCACCAAGGAAAAAGCUCCACCCCCUUAGGAUGCGAGGGAAGGAUGCAAGUAUAAGAUGCGAGGAGAGAGGCAUCAAAGCAAGUCAAAUGGAAUAUCCUCGCUCUCUCAAGCGCCACCUCAAAACGACAUCAAUGAAUGAUUGGAUUGCUGAAUUGCCUCACUGCAGUCCAGGGAUCUGCCAUUAUGUUGUUUGAAACUGGCACCCGCACCCUCAUGCCUCUCCCCAUCAUUGGUGUCCCCUUCGAGAGAAUAAGGUAUCCCCAAGGACAUUGUAACUAACCAAGACUGACGGCCUCACUGAUCGCUUUAACCAAAUGCUCAACUGGAUGCUGCGACAGGUUGUAGAUGAAGAGGGGAGGAACUGGGACCUCCUCCUACCCUUCAUCUUCUUCACUGUCAGAGACUUGACAGGAAUCUACAGGCUUUACCUCCUCUUCAGAUAGGAGCCUCAGGGACUGUUGGAUGUGGCCUGGGAAGCCUGGAGGAACAGCCCUCACUGUUCCACUCUCUCAUCGAUUAUGUGCAGGACAUGCAAGAGCGGCUCUAGCAAGUUGUUCCGAUCGUCCGGGAGCACAUGGAGACCUCACAAUGGGUAUCUAUAAUCAACCUGCCCAGCCCCGGGAGUUCCAUCCAGGUGAUCAGGUGCUUCUCCUGCUGCCAAACGCCUCCUACAAAUUUAUAGCAUGCUGGCAGGGAACACAGUCCUCAAGAGGUGGGCCCAGUGAACUACCACCUGUCAGCCCCUGGUCCAGCCCCAUUGUCAUGGUGUCGAAGCCCAACAGAAGUAUCCUCCCCUGGGCCAACAACCUAGUGGAGCAGCUGGGGAGAACUCGCUUCAUAUCCACCCUCGGCCCUGGCUCCGGAAACAAAGCCCAAAAAAGUCUUUUGGGCUUUGCUGAAGCACCUUUGUUGAAGCACCUUUUGAUUUUAUUAUACCACUCAGCCUUUGAGUAAGACUCUGUGUGACACAUCUUGACUUAGCAAUAUUUUCCACACCCUCUCUGCAAAAACAUCAGAUUGUAAGGACACAGAUUUUUUGUUAGAUUCAGGUCUGGGCUCUGGGUAGGUCAUUCAAAAACAUUGACCAUCCUUUGGUUAAGCCAUUCCUAUGUUGAUUUGGAUGUAUGCUUUGGGUCAAUGUCAUACUGAAAGGUGAAAUUCUUUUUAACCUUCAGCUUACUAGCAGAAAUCUGAAGGUUUUUUGCAAAAACUGAUUGGGAUUUGUAGCUAUUCAUGAUUCCCUCCACCUUGAUAAAAGCCCCAGUUCUGGCUGAAGAAAAGCAAUCCUAAAGCAUGCUGCUACCACCACCAUGCUGUGCCACGGGUAUGGUAUUCUUUUAGUGAUGUGUUUUUGUUUUUUUCUGCACCAAACAUACCUUUUGGAAUUAUGGAAUUAUUAUACCUUUUGGAAUUGUUCUCAUCACACUAUAACACAUGUUGCCACAUGGUUUGGGAUAAUUUAGUUGGGCUUGUUUGUUUAUUGUGACUAAUCAGUACUUGUCAGAUAUUACUGCAGUUCCUUUAAUGUUGCCAUAGGUCUAUUGGCAACCUCCCUAUUAAUUGUUUGUCUUAUUCUUUUGUAACUUUUAGACGGACAUCUUGUUCUUUGUAAUGUCACUGUGGUACCCCAUUUUCUCCACUUGUUGAUGAUGGCCUUCAGUGUUCCAUAGUAUAUCUAAUGUUUUGGAAAUUAUUUUAUGCCCAACUCCUGGCCUAUACCUUUUGACAAGUGAGAUACUGUACAUGCUUUGUAAGCUCUUUGUGGACCAUGGCUUCAGGAGUCAGAUGAAACCAAGAAGAUAUCAAGAAAUCUGAUAGACACAGAUGGUCUUUAUUUGGGGUUAGUCAGAAAAAUUACAUUGAUGACAGUGGUAUGAUAAUUACUUUUAGAUUCAAUGUGAUUGGUUCAUUCUGAACCCAGUCACAUCCCAAAUUAUAAAAGGGUGUACACACUUACAUGACUAAGUUACUGUAACUUUUUUUAUCUUUCCCUAAAAUGUUCCCUAAAUGGUUUUUUUCACUUAUUUUUAAGACAUUGUAAUUCAAUGUGAGGUUCUCACAAUUUAUCUUGGUUUUAUUUAUUUAUUUAUUUAACAUCACAAAAACCUGCCAUUUUAACAGGGGUGUGUAGAUGUUUUAUAUGCAUUGUAUGUGCAUCCUUAUAAUUUGUGAAUUACACUUUAAAUGAUCACCUUGUAUUUAUAAUGAAUAAAUACUGCAGUUGCCUCAUAAUUUUUGACAAGCCAUUAUUAGUUAUAGUUAUUAGAUAUAGAACAUAUUAGAGCUUUUUAAGAGUGAAAAUUCUUACAAGAAUCAUUAUCAACUUACAAAGAAUUAUGAGUACAGACAUAAUGUUUUUGUCUUCUUGCUAUUAGCAGUAGUACUAUUUCCUGUUAUCUUUAUUUUCAUUUUUGUACUGGAUCUGUAAUAACAUGUU